CUACGGGGUGCAGCAGUGGGGAAUAUUGGACAAUGGGGGCAACCCUGAUCCAGCGAUGCCGCGUGGGUGAAGAAGGCCUUCGGGUUGUAAAGCCCUUUAGGGUGGGAAGAAGCGUAGUAGUUUAAGAGAUAAUUACGUUGACGGUACCAUCAGAAUAAGCACCGGCAAACUCUGUGCCAGCAGCCGCGGUAAUACAGAGGGUGCGAGCGUUAAUCGGAUUUACUGGGCGUAAAGGGCGCGUAGGCGGUUAUAUUAGUGUGAUGUGAAAGCCCUGGGCUUAACCUAGGAAGUGCAUCGCAAACGGUAUAACUGGAGUAUAUGAGAGGGUGGCGGAAUUUCCGGUGUAGCGGUGAAAUGCGUAGAGAUCGGAAGGAACGUCAAUGGUGAAGGCAGCCACCUGGCAUAAUACUGACGCUGAGGCGCGAAAGCGUGGGGAGCGAACAGGAUUAGAUACCCGUGUAGUC
rnacentral:rRNA from 1 species